UUAAGUUCAGCGGGUAGUCCUACCUGAUUUGAGGUCUAGUCUUAAAAAAGCCCAAAGGCAAUUAGAAGCAGUCUUCCUUUCACCUAAUGAAACUUAUUACAUCAGGAUCCAGUUUGAACCACUAAGGCAUUCUAGGUGAGCAGAUUGCAAACCCACAUCCACGUUUAAAGAGAAAAACUCUUUAAAGUGAUAAUUCAAGA
rnacentral:misc_RNA from 1 species